rnacentral:rRNA from 1 species
GAUGAACGCUGGCGGCGUGCCUAAUACAUGCAAGUCGAGCGAACGGACGAGAAGCUUGCUUCUCUGAUGUUAGCGGCGGACGGGUGAGUAACACGUGGAUAACCUACCUAUAAGACUGGGAUAACUUCGGGAAACCGGAGCUAAUACCGGAUAAUAUUUUGAACCGCAUGGUUCAAAAGUGAAAGACGGUCUUGCUGUCACUUAUAGAUGGAUCCGCGCUGCAUUAGCUAGUUGGUAAGGUAACGGCUUACCAAGGCAACGAUGCAUAGCCGACCUGAGAGGGUGAUCGGCCACACUGGAACUGAGACACGGUCCAGACUCCUACGGGAGGCAGCAGUAGGGAAUCUUCCGCAAUGGGCGAAAGCCUGACGGAGCAACGCCGCGUGAGUGAUGAAGGUCUUCGGAUCGUAAAACUCUGUUAUUAGGGAAGAACAUAUGUGUAAGUAACUGUGCACAUCUUGACGGUACCUAAUCAGAAAGCCACGGCUAACUACGUGCCAGCAGCCGCGGUAAUACGUAGGUGGCAAGCGUUAUCCGGAAUUAUUGGGCGUAAAGCGCGCGUAGGCGGUUUUUUAAGUCUGAUGUGAAAGCCCACGGCUCAACCGUGGAGGGUCAUUGGAAACUGGAAAACUUGAGUGCAGAAGAGGAAAGUGAAAUUCCAUGUGUAGCGGUGAAAUGCGCAGAGAUAUGGAGGAACACCAGUGGCGAAGGCGACUUUCUGGUCUGUAACUGACGCUGAUGUGCGAAAGCGUGGGGAUCAAACAGGAUUAGAUACCCUGGUAGUCCACGCCGUAAACGAUGAGUGCUAAGUGUUAGGGGGUUUCCGCCCCUUAGUGCUGCAGCUAACGCAUUAAGCACUCCGCCUGGGGAGUACGACCGCAAGGUUGAAACUCAAAGGAAUUGACGGGGACCCGCACAAGCGGUGGAGCAUGUGGUUUAAUUCGAAGCAACGCGAAGAACCUUACCAAAUCUUGACAUCCUUUGACAACUCUAGAGAUAGAGCUUUCCCCUUCGGGGGACAAAGUGACAGGUGGUGCAUGGUUGUCGUCAGCUCGUGUCGUGAGAUGUUGGGUUAAGUCCCGCAACGAGCGCAACCCUUAAGCUUAGUUGCCAUCAUUAAGUUGGGCACUCUAAGUUGACUGCCGGUGACAAACCGGAGGAAGGUGGGGAUGACGUCAAAUCAUCAUGCCCCUUAUGAUUUGGGCUACACACGUGCUACAAUGGACAAUACAAAGGGCAGCGAAACCGUGAGGUCAAGCAAAUCCCAUAAAGUUGUUCUCAGUUCGGAUUGUAGUCUGCAACUCGACUACAUGAAGCUGGAAUCGCUAGUAAUCGUAGAUCAGCAUGCUACGGUGAAUACGUUCCCGGGUCU